UGGAGAGGAAGCCUAGCCUGCGCACGGGUCCAUUGGUGAGGAGAAUGACACCCGUUUCCAGUGUCUUCUUGGUCAGUCAAAGUGUCCUCAGCUCCCUACAGGGGACUUCAGCAGGAGCUCCAUCCUCUGCCCAUGCGGAUGACCAAAGAAGAAAUGACUCUUGUCCCCAUGCCAUCUGUUGUAGGUUUCCCUACAGUUCCCGUUCCUCAGGUUAGACCAACGCCUACUUCCUCGUACACCAGAGGGCCAUGCAAAUAGCACGUGCCACUGGAGGCACCAAGCCAGCUCUGGCUUUCCCUGGGUUGUUGGUUGGUCUUGGGGCCUCGUGUCCCUGCCACAUGUGUGGGGUUUCCUGCCCUCCCGCGUUACCUGAACGUUGCUUCUUCUUUUGCCCCUUAGGUCUGGGUCCAAAACCAGAGAACGAGACAGCUAAGGCAGAGCCGCCGACUGGACUCCAGAAUUCCCCAAGGAGAAGGGCCACCGAAUGGAAAGGGACAGCCUCCAGGACGUGUCCCGAAGGAAGGCAGGAGAAAACGGACAUCCAUUUCUGCAUCCCAAACCAGUAUCCUCCUUCAAGCCUUUGAGGAGGAGCGGUUUCCUGGCAUUGGUAUGAGGGAAAGCCUGGCCAGAAAAACAGGCAUUCCAGAAGCCAGAAUUCAGGUUUGGUUUCAGAACAGAAGAGCUCGGCACCCAGGGCAGAGCCCAAGUGGGCCCGAGAAUGCUUUGGCGGCAAACCACAAACCCAGUCCUCGCGGGACGGUCCCAUUGGACCAAAGCCACCUGUGGAGGGUCCCCAGGAGCUCUCCAAAUCUGGCUCCCUUUGAUCCUUUGGCAAGCAUGCAGACGCAGGCUGCAGGGACACCUCCUGUCUCCUCCGUGGAUGUUGUCCCUCCAGUUUCCUGUGGGGGCUUUGGGCGCCUGAUUCCGGGGGCCAGCCUGGUCCCACCCACCUUAGGUGGGCAAGGAGGAAACGCUGCUGCUCCCAGAGACCUGGGGAGCCGAUCCUGCCCAGGACUGACUCGAGGAGGGGGCCUCUCACCAGGUCACGCUGACCUUGGCCUCCCCUCCCCUGGGAGAUGCCAGCAGCCGAAAGAGCACCCCAGCAAGGCGCCCCUGCUCUUACAAGUUGGCCCGCGGCCUCCACCUGCUGAUCCCCCUCAACACUGGGGUCAUGCAGGUCCCUCGGGCACCGAUCAGGCCAUGCCGAGGAGGGGCCAAAGUUCCCAGGCAGUCAUGGGCACAGCAGGGUCCCAGGAUGGGACAGGGCAGCAGCCCGCCCCCGGGGAGAGCCCCGCUUGGUGGCAACAGCCUCCCCCUCCUGCAGGGCCAUGUGUCCCGCUGCCCCCACAACACCAGCUGUGUACGGACACCUCCAGUUUCCUGCAAGAGCUUCUCUCAGCCGAUGAGAUGGAAGAAGAUGUACACCCCUUGUGGGUGGGGCCUCUGCGGGAGGAAGAACCUCCAGGACCCCUGGAAGCACCCCUCAGCGAGGACGAUUAUCACGCUCUGCUGGAAAUGCUACAGGACUCCUUGUGGCCUCAGGCCUAGGAUCAGGGAGGCCCUGUCCUCCCCACGCCCAACCCAUUCAUUCAGGCAUCCAGGGGAACAUGGGGCCCUAGCGUGACUCAGAGGAGGGGGAACCCACAGUUCAGCCAGGGGCCCGAUGGAGCCUGAGGCCAGGAGGAGCAGCCAUCAUGCUCCAGGUCUGGACUGUGUUGCCCAGGGACACGGAUGCAUCUAGGCUGUCAGGGUGGGAAUGGCCUAAGGGGCAAAGCCUGGGGUCUCCCCCGUCAGCCUCCUGUCCCAGGCUACAGCGGGAAUGUCCUGGGGCCUUGGCCUGGCAUCUUGCCAGAGCACUGCCAACGGUCAGCAAGUGGCAGCCAGAGGGGUGGCCACAGGCACUCGGGGCGGUCAGUGUGAGACGGUCCCACGGGGGUGCGUUCCAGAACCUCAGCCGUGUGUGUGCCUUUGUGCAUGUGCAUGUGUUUUCCUUCUGUGGGACCCAUCAGCAGGCCCCUGGACCCUCAAGGAUCCCUGGCUAUUCAGGAAGCAGCAGACGUUAGCGGUCAGCCUGUCACAGGUCUUCCCUCAGCCGGGUCACCCCUCUUCCCUGCCAAGAG
rnacentral:lncRNA from 1 species